AACGCUGGCGGCGUGCCUAAUACAUGCAAGUCGAGCGAACAGACGAGGAGCUUGCUCCUCUAACGUUAGCGGCGGACGGGUGAGUAACACGUGGAUAACCUACCUAUAAGACUGGGAUAACUUCGGGAAACCGGAGCUAAUACCGGAUAAUAUAUUGAACCGCAUGGUUCAAUAGUGAAAGACGGUUUUGCUGUCACUUAUAGAUGGAUCCGCGCCGCAUUAGCUAGUUGGUAAGGUAACAGCUUACCAAGGCAACGAUGCGUAGCCGACCUGAGAGGGUGAUCGGCCACACUGGAACUGAGACACGGUCCAGACUCCUACGGGAGGCAGCAGUAGGGAAUCUUCCGCAAUGGGCGAAAGCCUGACGGAGCAACGCCGCGUGAGUGAUGAAGGUCUUCGGAUCGUAAAACUCUGUUAUUAGGGAAGAACAAAUGUGUAAGUAACUAUGCACGUCUUGACGGUACCUAAUCAGAAAGCCACGGCUAACUACGUG
rnacentral:rRNA from 1 species